AUUGAAAUGUCAAAAGAGAUCCAUUGAUCAAGGUGCUAUACUAUAGGUGGACCGCAAUGUCAAAAUUGCUGUUCGGCCAUUGCUCGUGAAAAAACAAAUUUGUUUACAAAACAUAUCAUAUCUUUUGGUGACAAAUGCAUUCGUCGGCAAAAUAGCUGCUCGCGCUUUACUGUAGAUAUCUACAAUCAGCGGUCGAAUUAAAAACAGUGCAGAAGGAUGUUUUGAGGCAAAAGCAUGAAAUAGAAUCGUACGUAGUACAAAUUUAUCGGCACAAUCUGAUCAAGGACGGAGGCAUCAUCAAACGGAAACUACGCGAGAAACUUUUCGAAGAGAUAAAACUGCGCCGCAACACUCGUGUCAAAAUGGACGAGUUGGGCUGGGUGUUGAUGAACCACGAUUUGAUAACACGUAAUGAGCCAAACCAACAGCAUGCCAAUGGUAAUCGACCAAAUAAUUUUAAAUUCAACAUGGAGCAGUUGCGAAACCUACUGGAGCAGCACGAACAGAACAAUCACGCUGAGUUGACUUCCAAAAAGCAAAACAAAUUCCUGCGUAUGCUGGAUGAAUUUUACAAAACGACAAAGUUUUGAAGGAAAUUAAAGAGAUGGUAGUGGCGAAUCGACUUCUAUCGGAAAUUCGUCAUGUGACUACGGUGGAACGUAUGCUGAAACAUGCUGCUGCUUUGUAUGCCGAGAGUAUUUCCACACUGCCGAUGAGUAUACCAGUCAUUUCCAAAAAUUGCAUGGUGAGAAAUUUCUUAUUGUUGCGGCGGUGGAUCGAUUUCAGACUAGUCAAAAGUUCAACGUUCUACAUCACUACAAUGUCCUUAAUCCGGUGACAAUAUUCACGAUUUGCAACGUAUACCACACAGCCCUAAUAAAAAAAACAAGAAAAGACGGGUCUAAUAUUUUACAAUACAGAACAAAUCUACCACUUUCCACGAAAGUCGGAGAACCACUAUAUCGGUUCGACAUGGAAUGGCUAAUACAUAUAAGGCAGAAAAAAGGUUUAACUUUGGAAUUCAACAUCCUAUAUUUUCUCGUACCAUUAAGUUCAUGGCGCAUUUGAUGUCGGUCAUCGUAGCUGCUGCUAUGGAAAUGACGUGAGCAUAUACCUUGAUUUUUCUGAGGCUUCCAAUCCUUCGAUUGGCCACAGAAAAGUAUCCAUUUAUGAAGUCUAUCUCCAUCUCGGGGGAAAGUGUGGUAAACAAUGUCCGGGUUGUUUUUCGUUAUGCGGACCUUGUUUCCGCAUCCUUUUACUGCACAAUAAUACGGCAUCUGAAGAAAAUAAGAUAUUCACAAUAUAAUUUUGGCAUGAUAGAGAACCGCGAGAUGAACGAUUAUCUGUGGAGGAGUUGGACAACAGAUUUCUUAGACUUAUAGCACUUUAAUCACACUCACAAGCUCUUCAAAUCCUCACUGUCCCCCAAAACUAUUGAAUAAUAUGUAAUAUAAAUACCUUAUUGCAGCUCUAGUACACUAUUUUUCACGAAUAUAUAUUUGCUUAUUUCUUUCUUCAGUUGUUUUCCUCAGCGAGUUGAUAUGAAACCAUAACGACACAACCAAACAAAAAGUAAACAAUGCAGAAAGCUACGUCUCGCAACUCGUAUUGUCAUGAAAGUGUCAAGAACGAAACACCUAUUCGCGUUGACGGCGGAAUGGUGUCGACAUCUGGAUACGAUAUUAGUUUCUAUGAGGUCAACUAUUCUCUAUCAGAUUAGUCGACCCUAAGGCAGUUUUAAAUUGCUAAAAUUUGAAUGAAAUUUUUUUCUUUGCGUUAUUUGCCUUCUAUAAGUACGCUGUUCUGACCCCAAUUUAAACUAUUUUCUAUCAAUUUUCAGAUAUUCUCACCAAAACUUGCCAUUAUAAUACAAAAUUAUCUUUAAACACAAUUUGUGUAUGAUAUUUUUUUACUACUUGCAAGCAAAAGUGAUUUUAGUUUACCUAGAGUACUAAUUUGGUUUGGUAAAAAUAAUUUUCAUUCAUAAUUUUUAUUUUAAAAGCACGUUUAUGUCUUUUGCAAACCCAUAUUGUCAUGCCUGCUCCCCCAUUUCGUAAUACGAAGCUCAAUGCCGUCAAUGCGGAUAGUUUAGCAUCUUGCCAUUGAUCAGGAGUGUUAUUUUUCUUAUGAUAAUCAACACUAGAAAAGAGGUAUUGUUGUCAAGGGCAAAAAUAAUUAAAAUUAUAAAAUGAACAAACUACAUUUUUCCGUCAAUUGUUUAAUUAACCAUUGCAUCUCUGAAAGAGCAUCUCAGCCUUUCACUGAGAAACGCAUUUUUAAUGUCCCCUCUCUUUGACAUAACGUUUUUCCGAACGAAAUAAAAACAAACGUCAGUCAGAGUCACGUAAAUGUUUACUCCUGCGAUUCGAAAAUAUUCGAUAAAAAGUGGAAGGACGAGAUGCCAGAUGAUUUUUAAAAAAAGUCUGUAAAAACAUGUGAAUGUCUGUUAAAAUGUGGAAAAGUCUGUAAAAGUGUGCAGAUUUAUAGAAAUGUCUUUUGACGUUAAUUUUCACAUAUUCAUUAAUACUUUGUACAUCGCGAUGCACGUAAGAUUGUAUUUUGUAUAGUGGUUCUUAGAUCUUCGUCAAAAGUGGUAAUUUUGUUCUUUAUCGCAAAACAUUAGACUCGUAUUUUUUUUAUUUUUUCAUUUCCAUUUUAGGGUGAUCCAAAAAAUCAUUUUUUUCCACUAUUUCCCCAAAUGACCUUUUUUCUAAAAUUUAUAACUUUCGAACCACUUAACCGAUUUAGAUGAUCGACAUAUCAAAUUGAAGCCAAAGAGCUUUAAUUGAGAAGUAUUGAACUUGCAGAUAAUAUGGAUCCUAUUUUCGUAAUUAUUGAUUGUAGUCGUUUUUUAAUGUUUUCAUGGCUUUGGACUAGGGGGCGCUAUAUUUUUUCAUAUUUUUUUCUUGAAAGCUGAGAAUUUUCUACAUAAAAUAUCUCGAUAUCAGAGAUACUUUUUUUUCCGUUUUUGAAAUAUGAUUUUUCAAAACUAAUC